AAUUCUCAAAACCCUUUCUUUUCAUCGAGAAAUGGAUUUUGGACUUGGGGGAUCAAUGCUCACUCUCACUUAUCGAAGGUGGGCUCCUCUCAAAUGAAUUGGUGGGGUUCGCUUUGCUGAUCCUUGACGUGAUAAGAUCAUGUUUUAUUUUUUACGUUUUUGAUUCGGCACUGUCCCUCCAACCGUCUUACGGACAACGAUGGUGUUCUGGUCACCGCCGCCUAUGUCGGUGGUUGGCUGGACCCACAAGAAAA
rnacentral:misc_RNA from 1 species